UGGGGAAUUUUGCACAAUGGGGGAAACCCUGAUGCAGCGACGCCGCGUGAUUUAGAAAGCCUUCGGGUUGUAAAAAUCUUUUCUAUGGGAAGAAAAUGACAGUACCAUAGGAAUAAGGACCGGCUAAUUACGUGCCAGCAGCCGCGGUAAUACGUAAGGUCCGAGCGUUGUCCGGAAUCAUUGGGCGUAAAGGGUACGUAGGCGGGUAAGCAAGUUAGAAGUGAAAUCCUAUAGCUCAACUAUAGUAAGCUUUUAAAACUGCUCAUCUUGAGGUAUGGAAGGGAAAGUGGAAUUCCUAGUGUAGCGGUGAAAUGCGCAGAUAUUAGGAGGAAUACCGGUGGCGAAGGCGACUUUCUGGCCAUAACCUGACGCUGAGGUACGAAAGCGUGGGUAGCAAACAGG
rnacentral:rRNA from 1 species